GUUUCACUUCUGAUCUCGCCAUCUUGUUGUGAUUAUCAUACUGCUAUAACUUUGCUGCUUUUCUGACGCUGUUUGCUGAUAGUUCGCUCAUCGUCGUCUCUAAACAUCAUGAGCUCCUACGCCCAAGGUUGGAGAUAGGUAGCCCUCCACUCACGUAGAGACUUAUCAUGACCAGUCAUCGUCAAAGCGAACCUCUCCAGUUGAUGUGUGUCGCGCCUGUCUGAACAUGUAUCACUGAAAUGUACUAAAAUAUGUGGAAACGUA